rnacentral:rRNA from 1 species
AUUGAACGCUGUCGGCAUGCCUUACACAUGCAAGUCGAGCGGCAGCACGGGUGCUUGCACCUGGUGGCGAGUGGCGAACGGGUGAGUAAUGCAUCGGAACAUGUCCAUGUCGUGGGGGAUAGCCCGGCGAAAGCCGGAUUAAUACCGCAUACGCCCGCGAGGGGAAAGUGGGGGACCGCAAGGCCUCACGCGAUUGGGUUGGCCGAUGUCCGAUUAGCUCGUUGGUGGGGUAAAGGCUCACCAAGGCGAUGAUCGGUAGCUGGUCUGAGAGGAGGACCAGGCAGACUGGGACGUAGACACGGCCCAGACUCCUAAGGCAGGGAGCAGUGGGGAAUUUGGUACAAUGAGGGCAACCCUGAUCCAGCCAGUCCGCGUGAGAGAAGGAGCCCUUCGGGUGGUAAAGCUCUUUUGUCCGGAACGAGACGGGUAGGCCUAAUACGCCUGCCUACUGACGGUACCGGAAGAAUAAGCACCGGCUAACUACGUGCCAGCAGCCGCAGUAA